CCUACGGGUGGCUGCAGUGGGGAAUAUUGGACAAUGGGGGCAACCCUGAUCCAGCCAUGCCGCGUGUGUGAAGAAGGCCCUCGGGUUGUAAAGCACUUUCAGUGAGGAAGAACGCCUGGUGGUUAAUACCCAUCAGGAAAGACAUCACUCACAGAAGAAGCACCGGCUAACUCCGUGCCAGCAGCCGCGGUAAUACGGAGGGUGCGAGCGUUAAUCGGAAUUACUGGGCGUAAAGCGCGCGUAGGUGGCUUGAUAAGCCGGUUGUGAAAGCCCCGGGCUCAACCUGGGAACGGCAUCCGGAACUGUCAAGCUAGAGUGCAGGAGAGGAAGGUAGAAUUCCCGGUGUAGCGGUGAAAUGCGUAGAGAUCGGGAGGAAUACCAGUGGCGAAGGCGGCCUUCUGGACUGACACUGACACUGAGGUGCGAAAGCGUGGGUAGCAAACAGGAUUAGAUAUCCCGGUAGUC
rnacentral:rRNA from 1 species